rnacentral:lncRNA from 1 species
CAGAUUUUAUGUUUUGGGGCCUCUAAAUUGGCAUAAUUAAUUGGUAUCUUGCUUUCUAGUUGUGUUUUUAUUUCUACCGACAAUAAAGUGGCAUCGAAUUGAUAAAAUAAAAACCUAGUAAGAGAGAAAUCGAGGAGGCUGAAUCUAUAUCUAUUUGUAGUUGUGGUUGAUUUGAGGAUUGUAUUUUCUGAAAAGCAUUACAUUUGUGUUUAUGUUAAAAGUAUUUUCAUUCUACUACUUUUUAAUAAUUCUGAGAAUGAACGGUAAAGAUUAGUCAAAAAGUCAUACUCCUUGUUGGCUGGACUUUCAAAAACAACCCUGUUUUCAUUAUUAACAUAUUUGAAAUUUUAUUCUAAAAAAUCGAACAUCGCAAAUUGUAUAAAAAAUCAUACUACUUGGUAGGCUAGAGUUUUGAAGAUAACCAAAUUUCAUUAUUAACAUAUCAAAAUUUUAAUCUAAAAAAUCGAACUCUACAUAUUGUUUUUUAAGUUAUACACCUUGGUAGGCUAGACUUCCGAAGAGAACCCGAUUUCAUUGUUAACAUAUCGAAAUUUCAUUCUAAAAAAUUGAACGUUUAAAAUUGUUUAAAAAGUCAUACUGCUUGGUAGGCUAUACUUCCGAAAAUAAAGAAUUUUGUAGUGUUGAAACUUUUGGCAGGUUUUCUUUAUAAGGCGUUUAUUGUUGUAGUCCUAUUAAAUUAGGAAUGUGAUUGUGUAAAUCUUAUGAUAUCUGAGAUAUUCUUAUGAGAUUUUACCAUAUAUCUUAGACUAUAUAUUAUCUUAUUAGAGUUGUAAUCCUAUUGGGGUAAAUAAUUCUCUGUAUGUCACCGCACCCUCUCUUUCUGUCCUUUAUAUCGUUCAUUAAAUUAAACUUAUAACAUUUAUAUAAUUUUGUUGAUCCUAAAAAUUAUCAAGCCUACGUGGCAGGCAAGCCGAGUAACUAAUGAGCUAAUUACAUCAUUCAGUUGAGGAGGAUUAGAGGCGAAUGAUGUUUUUGGGGGUGGAGAUGGAGAUUAGGCGACCCUUUUGAGCCAAGAACUUGGAGACCUCUAGAUAGGGGUGUGAUAUCCACACACCUUUUUUUACUUCUCCCACACCUUUUUGGUUUUCGGCCGUCAGGUCGGAUGAAUUGAAGAAGAUCAGCGGACAGAAAUUAACAAGGGUGUGUGAGAAGUAAAAAAGGGUGUGUGGAUAGCACACCCCCUCUAGAUAUUGCAUUAGGUGGCCAUAGGCUAUGUUAGGGUGAUAUUUUAUAUAUAUUUGAUAACUCUUUUACCUAUAACUUAGUCAUGAUUUUAUAGUAAAUUGGUGAGUUUGAUGUGUUUUUGUGCGAUUUUUGUAGAGAACAUAAUUCAUGAAUAAAGAAGGGAAUUGGAAGCUUAAAUUAGAGAAACUCAAAGAAUUAUCGAAUGGGAUGUGACUGAUGGGCUGGAGCAAAGAAUGGAACAAUACAUCAUAUAGGAAAUUGGAUCAUUAAAGCAAGCCCAAUAAAAUUAGGCUGUGCAAGCAUGCGGUGAUGUGUUUUCCCAAAAAGAAUUGGGUUUGAGAGUCCAAACGGCAUGUGGAUUAGGCAACCAAAAGGAAAGGCAUAGAAAGAAAAAGGUUUUUAGCAGCCGCAAGGGUGGGGGAUAUAACGAUACUCCAGCCUUCCAGUGGGGGUACUCUUGACAGAAGGUGGCAGUUUUGGGGUUUAUCGCACACGGUUCCAGAAUUGGGGUUUUGGGUUUCUUUAUGUCAUCGAAUUCAUCCAUAUUUGUCAUUAGUUUAAUCAUGAACUAAGUCCUUUUGCUAGGAUUAGGGUGUACUCUUAUUAUGAACAUCUAAUUCUUAUUAUUUCAUAUUGAUCUCGGUUGUUUUCCAUGUUGAGUAAUUGUUAUUGUGCUUUAUCGUUAUCAAAUAACUGGCCAUUAUUUGUGUGAAGAACUAAAUUGGGACUGACAGGUUGAGUUUAGUAGAUUGCUUCUCAUAACAAUUACCAUGAAUUACAUAAUUGAGUAGACAUACUGGUUAUGACUUGUGUAGUAUUGUGAAAUUAUCCAUUUAGCGUAAAGGGAUUCGAUUAUCUACUUAUGUGGCUAGACAUAGCAUGGGUAGAUAGUUAGAACACAGUUAGUACAUUCUGAAAGGAAAUAUUGACGAAUCAAGGGAUAAUUGCUAGCAACAUGGGAAUAAUUUGAGUUUAAUAUGAAUAACGGGAUUAGAUGGGAUUGAGAAUGAGGAACCUGAUGUCCUAGUGCUUCAAUAUAUUAAUUUUUCAUAAUUCAUUCACUUUUACUUCGUGUUUGUUCAAUUGAUAUUUUCAAUUUCGUUUGGGUUUUUGCAUAUUUGAAUUUGUCAUCGUAAUCCAUCUUUUAUUUAAGUUUAGUUUGAAGUCAAUCUCAAUAGUAAAUUUAGGUUAAUCCGAUCCUUAUUUGAACGACACUCUACUUAUCACUAUAUUACUUGGACGAUAUUGUACACUUGCAAUUAUCAACAACAGGCUAGCCAUGGGAACAUGGCUAUUUGAAGUUUCUUCUGAUCUUUGCUCUCCAUGUGUUCGACGAUUGGGUGUGAGAGCAGAGAUUCUCAGGCUUUUGAUAUCAGAAAUUGUAAUUAAAGGGCAGUACUAGUAGUGGCAUGGAAAUUACGAAUUGAUAAGCUACUGGUAAAUCAGCAGUCACAGUUCAUUUGGCAUUGUAAGUUCCUGGCAAUAAUUAUUUUUUGGGUCUUCUUAUUUUGGCAUGUCGAGAAUUGCUUUUAAGAUAUUAACAAUGCGAACUUUGGCAUGUCUACAAAGAAAUUUACGAUAGACAGUUUAGCGAUUUGUAGUCUUGAUUUAAAUUCACGUAAUUUUUAUUUUAAUAAUCUUCCUUCUUGUUCAAUUAGUUUUUUUUUUUUUUUUUUGUCAAACAAUAGAUUUUGUUAGAUUAGCCACCGACAGAGUUUGAACCCACAUCAUCAUGCAAGGGCUCAACACUUUUCCACCACUGUGGUAAAGGGCCACUUGCUUGUUCAAUUAGUUUCAUUCGUGAGAGAAUCGAUUUGGGAUGUUUUAGUCUAAAUUUGUUAUUGAGUACGUUUGUUUGGGCUCUUGCUUUUAGCUCCAUUUUUUCAACAAAAAAAAAUGUAACUUUUGGCCAAGUUAUUAGAUUGCUUUAUGGUGUGAGAGAUUAAUUAACAUCUAAACACCUAAAUUAAUCAAUCACGGUGCAUGUGAUUAAUAUUUGGAGGUUAGUUUAAUGGUAAAAGGAAAUAUGAGACUAGUGUUCAGAUGAGGGAAGAUGAGUUAAUAUGAUUAAGAUUGUCUCGAGUUGGAUUCCAUUUUCUGUUGUAACCAAAAUACCAAGUAAAAUACAGAGCGAAAAUUAUUUUCUAUACCAAGUUGUAAAGAUCAUUACAAGGAAAUUCGAGAAUUCUUCUAUGAUUAUGACGUCCGCAAACGGACUUAUCCAAUAUAUCUCACAAGCCACUAAAUUUUAUUUAGCUUUAAUAUCAAUUAUUGACAUACAUGAUUUGGGUAAACAAUUAUUAACAUAUUUUAGGUUUUCCUAUUUCGAAUUGGAUAAUCUCUUACAUUUUAGGAUUUAAGUGUCAAACUAUGGUGUCAAACGAUAGUGUGUGUAUAUAUGCAUGUAUGUAUCAUCUUAUAUGAUGGUGAGAGAGAGGUUUAAGGUAGAGCUGGCCCUAAGGGUGUGCAAAAGGUGUCACCGCACAAGGCCCCCAAGUUUUCAUUACAUAUAUACAGAUGCAUGUAAAUAGAUUAGAUGCAAAAGAUAAUCUAAUCGGUGGUUCUAGCGCUAGCGGUUUAGCUCUUCCACUUUAUGGCCCAUGUGCUGGGUUUGAAUCCCUUUGAUAUUGCUUUUCUAAUUUUUUAGCUUUUGCAAAUGUGUAAACAAAAAAGGAGAUAACAAAAACGGAUCCAACGUGUAUCGAACUUAGGACCUUUGAAGGUAAGGAAAAAACCCUGCCCAAUCAAACAACUUAUUUUUUUUACAGUAACUUGUAAUAUUUUACUUUUAUAGAUGAAAACAUUGAAGAAAAAAUAAUAAAGAAAUAUAACAUAAAAAAAAAUAAAGGGCCUCCAUCCAAGUUUGCAUAGGGCCCCUAAAUACUUAGAGUCGGCCCUAGAUGGUAGGUGACAGAUAGAGAGUGAGCACACAGAGCUUCCAACAUGAAUUCAUGCAAGAAAAGAACCACGUGUGCUAACUCUCUUAAGUCACCUUCUUUACAAACCUCUGUAAUUAUGUAUCCAAUCUAUAUGUAUCAAAUCAUAGAUGUAGCCACACAUACAUACUGAACUAAAUGAAACAAGUACCUUCUUCGUCCUCUUCUCUUUGUAGCUAGGGUUAAUUAAGGAAGUUGAUUUGUGAAAAACAUAGGGUUAGGAGGGUUAAUUUAUAUAGGAUCAGAAGCAUCGAUCCGUCUUUGACUCCUGGUAAAGAUAUGUUAAGAGCGCGUUUACUAAUCCGUAAUCAGAUUAAGAGGAAUUGGAUUGAGAAGGAAUUGGAAUGAGGUGGAAUCAGAAUUAGAUUUCUGUUGAAGUUGUUUACCAAAACUAUUUGGAAUCGAAGUAGGAAUGACAUUGAUGUAUACAAACUGUUUACUAAUUCACAUGAAUCGGAAUAAUAACUAAUGUGAUUACUAAAGUACCCCUAUUUUAACUAAUUUAUUUUAUAUGCUAAUUAUUUUUAGUAAAACUUUUAUUCUUUUAUUUUUUUUAAAUUUUUUACUAGAGAGAAUAAUUUUUUUCCUUUUAUAUAACUUUUAAAUUUUCCUAAUUGCAUAGAUUACUUCAAAUUUGAUAUGAAAGAAUCAAUUUUUAUUUGCUUCUAACCCUUAAUCACCCUAAAUCCUAUUAGAAAUACCUACAUAAAGUAAACUAAAAUAACAUUUUACUUCCUUCUCUCUUCCCCCUUUCUUUCCGCAUUCUUUUUCUGCAACCCUUUCCCCUUUCUUUCCCCAAUACGCAAUAUAACAUUUUACUUCCUUCUCUCUCUUCCCCCUUUCUUUCCCCAUUCUUUUUCUGCAACCCUUUCUUUCCCCUUUCUUUCACCAGUACGCAGUAUCCACACCCCACCAUCCAAUCUCAGGAGGAACUAUGAAGCCACGACCCACCCCAUCAACAAAAAAAAUCCAAUUUUCAGGGUGAAAGUGAUAAAAGUUCUUUCUUUCUCUUCUGUUUGAGUCUGCAAAUCGCAAUUUCCUUGAGGAUUUGGGCGUUCGUUGUUCCAGAUCAUGUUCGUCGUUGUGCCGUCGUUUCAAACCCCGGUCGAUCGUUGUUCCAAAUCGCAGGCGUUCGUCAUUCAGUGCUACUGUGUUUCAGAUUGCAAAGGUGGGGUGGUAUGUGCUGUGAGAGAAACAAAUACAGAGGAGAGUGAUUGAUGAAGGUAGAAGUUGUUUUAGGAAUAUACAUGGGUAUUUUGGUUAGAAAAUUUUGAUUCGUGAUGGAGCUCUCUACCCAGAAUUCAAUUACCACCUCUAUAGAGGGAAUCCAAAUCCGGAGAAAUCCGGAAUUGAACUCCUGAAAUUGGCUGGACCCCACAUAAAAUCUGAUUCCCCAGUUGCUAGUAAAUUGCAGAAUGCUUGGGGAGGAAUUCAAUUUCGUUUCUCCCCAUUCCACUCCCGAUUGGUAAACACGCCAUAAAUUCUUCCCCUUGAAUGCUGUUGGAAACCGGCAACCAAUCACUUGCGUUGAACUGAAAUGCAAGAGAUUCUAGGCCAACCAGUCGAACCUUCAGUUCUUGCUUACGUCUACCACUCACGUGUUUAAUAGUUCAUGCAUAACCAAGUUAUAUAAUUGCAAUGUUAACUAAAUAAGAGUUGCUUUUAAAGUGUUUCUCAAGAAGAAAGAUUAUCAAAAGAAAAAUUGCCUAAAUUUAAAUUAAGAAUACAAAUCGCUAAAUUGUUAAUUACAAAUUUUUUUUCUUUAUAGAUAUAACGAAAUUUGUAUUAUUAAUAAGGAAAAUUAAUGAAAAAAAUUUAAAAACUUUAAAUUUUAAUUAAAAUGAUAAAAAUGUGUUGUAAGUGAAUAAUACCAUUAGUGAUUUUUUAGAAUAAAAAUAAACAAUACUUCUACAAAACUCCCUUAUUAAUAUCAUAAAAGCAAUUCUCUAGGACCAACACAAACAGACCCAAAGAAUAAUUAUUGCGAGCAUCUUGCAAUGUCAAGUACCUCGUGAAGGAUCCAAAAAAAAUAAAUAUCGCCAGCAACUUGCAAUAUUAAAUGUUAUUAAUUGAACUGUGACUGCUGAUUUAUUGCCCACAAUGUCAAGUACACCGUGAGGAGAGUUUUUUUAAUGUGACCGUCACAUGAGAUGGUAUACCACGUGUUUCUAUAUAAAUAGUGAAUUAUGUGAAUUAAAAGAUUAAUAACUUAAAAAUUAAAUUUUUCCACUACUUACAUAAAAAUAUGUGAUGUAUUAUCCGUGUUCAUGUCAUAACUAAAAAUUUCUCCACCGUGAGGGACCCAAAGAAUAAAUAUCGCCAGCAGCUUGCAAUGUUCAAUGAACCCUGACCGCUGAUUUACCAGUACCUUAUCCAUUCGUAAUCGUCAUGCCCAUGGCCCAAUAGUACUCUUUAAUUACAACUUCCGAUAUCAAAAGCCGAGAGUGUCUCCUCUCACACCCCAAUCGUCGAACACAUGGAGAGCAAAGAUCAGAAUAAACUUCACAUAGCCAUGUUCCCAUGGCUAGCCUACGGCCACCUAAUGUCAUUUCUCGAGGUCUCCAAGUUCUUAGCUCAAAGGGUCAUCGAAUCUCCUUCAUCUCCACCCCCAAAAACAUCAAUCGUCUCCGAUCCUCCUCCUUUUCCCCGCUCAUCGAUUUCGUCGAGCUUCCUCUCCCUGCCGUCGACGGCUUACCGGAAUCCGCCGAGUCCACCUCCGAGCUACCAAUCAACAAAGUCCCAUACCUCAAAAAAGCAUACGACUUGCUCAAGCCUUCAGUCACCCAUUUCAUCGAACACUCGGGCGUCAACUGGAUCGUCCACGACUUCAUUUGCUACUGGGUUCCCCGAGUCGCCACUCAGCUCGGAGUCAACUCGGUCUACUUCAGCGUCACCAACGCCAAUUCCUUGGUUUUCAUCGGUUCUCCGUCCGAGUUACUCAGCAAUAAACGCAGGCGGCCGGAGGACUUUACUGUCGUCCCCGAGUGGGUCGACUAUCCUUCCAACGUUGCUUUUAAACUGCAUGAGAUGGUGACCCACUGGGAUUGCAUGGACGACGAGGUCUCCGAUUUUCAGAGACUCGCAGGUGCGAUUCAAGAUUGUAAUUUUGUUACUAUGCGGAGCUGCACCGAGUUCGAAUCUGACGCUGUAAGUCUGCUCAGGAAGAUCUACGGCAAACCAGUUGUUCCACUCGGGAUGCUGCCGCCAGUCUCAGCGCCGCAUCAGCACGGCGUCGCUGAUGAUCGAGGGGAUGAGACGUGGGAAGUGCUGAGAGGUUGGCUCGAAAAUAAGAAACCGAACUCGGUGGUUUACAUCGCAUUCGGCACUGAGGUGACUCCGAGUCUAGAAUUGAUGCACGAGUUGGCACAUGGGAUAGAGAAAUCCGGGUUGCCCUUUAUCUGGGUGGUCAACAAUCGCCCCUUAGUGGAGGGUGUGUUGGGGGCUGAUAUCAUUCCACCCGGGUUUCAAACUCGAGUGGAGGAUCGAGGCUUGGUCUGGAGGGGUUGGGCCCCACAACUUAAGAUUCUAGCUCAUGCAUCGAUCGGAGGUUUCCUAACUCAUUGCGGUUGGAGUUCAGUUGUUGAGGCACUACGGUUUGGGCGGGUUUUGAUUUUGUUUUCGGGUGCUUAUUCAGACCAACCGUUGAACGCAAGACUAAUGCAUGAUAAGCGGGUCGGGUUGGAGAUACCGAGGGACGAGCAAGACGGAUCGUUUACGAGUGACUCGGUGGCGGAGUUGAUUAGGCGAGUGAUGGUGGAGAAAGAAGGUGAGUCAAUAAGGUCAAAUGCAUGGGCCAUGAAGGAGAUCUUUGGCAACGUAGAGUUGAACAACAGGUGCUUGGACGAAUUCACUCGAACCCUUGAAACCUGGCCCACUUCAACCUAAUCAACUUUGCAGAUUUUAUGUUUUGGGGCCUCUAAAUUGGCAUAAUUAAUUGGUAUCUUGCUUUCUAGUUGUGUUUUUAUUUCUACCGACAAUAAAGUGGCAUCGAAUUGAAAAAAUAAAAUCCUAGUAAGAGAACUCGAGGAAGCUGAAUCUUUAUCUAUUUGUAGUUGUGGUUGAUUUGAGGAUUGUAUUUUCUGAAAAGCAUUACGUUUGUGUUUAUGUUAAAAGUGUUUUUAUUCUACUUUUUUUUAAUGAUUUUGAGAAUGAACGGUAAAUAUUAGUCAAAAAGUCAUACUCUUUGUAAGUUGGUGUUGAUCCUAAAAACUACUAAAUCUAUGUGACGCGCAGGUCAAGUAACUAAUAAGCUAACUACGUCCUUUGGUUGUUUGCGGGGCAUGCCAAUUGGUCAGCCGAGCUUGGUUGAGGAGUAAAAUAUGUUGAUGUUGCGUUGGGUGCAUUGCUAACUUCUGAAUCUCGCGACUGCGGCUUAGGAAGGAACACAUCUCGGCCUUCGGGUUUUAGAGCCUGAAGACAAAGCAGCUAGUUCUGUGAAGUUCAAUAUCAAAUUCGGCUUUCAAUGUGCCAAAUGUAGUAACUUGUAACACCUCAAUUUGUCGAGAAGACUAAUAAGAUGACCUCUGCCAAUAAGGAUUCAAAAAUUCUUCUUGACCGAGACUUGGAUAGAUAACCAGUCGGCCCCGUCGCAGUGCUGUUUAUCCAAACUGAAGGUGCUCCGCGGUCGGCUGAUUCUACGGCAACAGUGCUGUUUAUCCAAACUGAAGAUGUUCGCUGGUUGCCUUCACAGUGCUGUUUAACCAAAUUGAAGAUGUGUUGGCGAAAAAGAAAAUAAAAAUCUCAAGGUUGUUAAGAGGUUUCGCGUAGAGCGAGAGUUUGCGUAUGGCAGUUUAUGUGUUGAGUUGGAGGUCUUUUUCCCAUUGCCAUUGCAUCUGUAUUUAUAGGACUGAUGUACUUGCUUAACAUGACUAGAUAAUUGCGUAAAGUCCGACUGCAACUCUAAACAACUGAUUCGCGACAUAGAUGCUAAAGCCUAUCUUCAAAUAGUUGAUUCCUCAAAGAUAAUAAAAAUCAAUCCUGACUUAUCCCAUCAUAAUUAAAAGCCUAGCUAGGCUAGGCUUGCUUUUCUUGCCAUAUGCAGGUUACGACAGCCAUCAAUAAAAAAAAAAAUAUAUAUAUAAUCAUAUAUAUAUAUAUAUAUAUAUAUAAUUAUAUAAUUAUAUAGCAGGCAACCUUCACACGGCAUGCACAGACCAAACCCAUCGUCAAUUCAAUUCAUCUGACAACAUCUAUAAAUAACCCAGCCUACUUAGGUCUCCUAUCUCACCAUUAUCCAAGCCUUGCAAAUCCCAUGCUAUGCCAUGUGAUAAUAAUCCAAGCCAAGUUGUUCUAACCCACACGGUACACUGCUAACAAAUCCAAAUUAAAUCGGACUUUUCCACCUGCAUCUCCGUUGGAAUAUAAUUCGAAUCAUAUUUAUCUGGUUUAAGAAGAUGCAGAUAAUUCGUAUUAAAAUAUUAUUAUGAUAAAACCAUAAUAUUAUCCUUUAACAAAAAUAUCUUCACUUUUACAUCCGACGGUUGAGAACUAUGCUUACUCAACGGCCUUGAUUACACGGACUAAUGGUGUAAAUUUGGGUCCAAACAGCUGGACUUUCAAAAACAACCCCGAUUUCAUUAUUAACAUAUUUGAAAUUUUAUUCUAAAAAAUCGAAUGUCGAAAAUUGUUUAAAAAGUCAUACUACUUGGUACGUAGGUUAGAGUUCCGAAGAGAACCAAAUUUUAUUAUUAACAUAUCAAAAUUUUAUUCUAAAAAAUCGAACGCAAAAUAUUGUUUUAAAAGUUAUACACCUUGGUAGGCUAUACUUCCAAAGAGAACCCGAUUUCAUUAUUAAUAUAUUGAAAUUUUAUUCUAAAAAAUUUGAACGUGUUGCAGUCCUAUUGGAUUAAGAAUGUGAUUGUGUAAAUCCUAAUGUAUCUAGGAGCAUCUUGUAUAUUCCCUUCAGUAGUUUAAUUCUUAUCAGUGUUGUAAUCCUGAUAGGGUAAGGAUUUAACCUUAUCUACUACUAUAAAUAAAUGAAGUGAAAUAACACACCUUAGAAUUAUAUCUCUCUCUUCUUAUACAGUUCAGUCAAAUAGGCCUAUAACAUAACACUGAUAAAAACUAUAAUCUAUUAUAAGUUCAACAUUUUAUAUGAUUAAUUUAGACUCAAAUAGAAAACUUAUUUAAAUUUAAAAAUAAGGGAUUGCCACUUAGUACUAUAGUCUAGUGGUAUUCAUCUUCACUUGUAAAUAAGAGGUCUUAAGUUCGAUUAUCGUUAAAGACAAAUUUGAAUCAUAUUAUUGCUAGCCUAUUAUGAUACUAAGUCUACAUUUUUUUAAUGUAUAUAAUAUCGUUUGUUAAAAAAAAAUUAAAUAAUGGUGGAAAAAAUAUAUCAGACAUAAUUAAAAGUGGUAAAGUGGACUGUCAAUUAGGAAUUUAGAAUUAAAAUUGAUAAAUUGACUCCCUUUAAAGUCGGACACUUUUGUUUUUUUGAUAAAAAUUGGUGAGGCUUUCAGCCUCCUACGUGCUUUGGGAUGAAGUCAUCUAACUGUAUAUCAAAGCACUCAUUUUUAUUUAAAUGACUUGGCCUAGACGCACCCUUUCAUUGAAGUCUUCUUUUCCUCUUGACUUGGCCAAAAUACACCGUUUCAUCUCAAGAAAAUGUUUGGUCUUCUUCUCUUUCUGGUUUAAGACUUUGCAGAAUACCAGAACAGUGCAGUGCCGCUGCUCCUCCUCCACCACAUAUCCAAAUUUGGGUCGUCCUCGAAGGUCCUCACAACCACUUAUUCAAGUUUUCGGAUGGUUUCAAGACUACCCAGGUUCUUUAAUAAAUCUACCCAUGCCUAUAUAUAGACAAAUUUUUCAGUGUAUCUGGUUUAAGAUAAUACAUCACGUGGUGUCAUAAUAUGAGUAAAGUGAUAUUAGAAAAUAAAUCCUAAAGUGGAAUAUAUCUGUCAUGUUGUCCACUUAUAUGAUUACAUGUUGUAGUGUAUCAUCUUGUAUUCCAAGCACACAUGAAACUUCUCAUAUAUAUGCAUAUACAUAUAUACCCUUUAAGGGAAAGGAUCUUCAUUUUUUCCACAUCGAAUGUCAACAAAAUGAACCGUUUGUUGUGUAAUUCUUGAUUCAUAGACCAUCCUUACAAAUUCAUUUCAAUAUGAAACUAUAUGUCCAUUUUAUUGUUACGAUAAAAUUUUAAUAUUUCUUUUUAACACCAAAACUGAUGAGGCUAACAAAGGUUGAAUGGGUCAAGUGCUACCUUUAAUGGAUUUAGGCUUUGAAUACAAAUAGGAAUAGGCACAGGAUCUAAGUGUACCCAUGAAAAUUGGGCUACAUCAACUGAGUCUCUUUUAUAAAUGGAGAAUAAAGUUACAAAUAGCGUUCGGCUGGAUGUAUUAUAAUUUCUCUCUCAAUUCGUCUGACCCCCCUAAGAAGUACUCAUUCUCUUUAUAUAGGCCCUUUUCCCGAGUCUUCAGCUUCUAGACUUAAGUAUAUCACUUCCUUUGUAUUUAAUGUGCCGAACGCACAUAUAGACAUAAGUUAAUGGUCUUUUCAUUAUUUGGCUGACACGUGGCAACGGGUUGACACUUGUGCAAGUCCAUUCGUGUCCUUUCUUGGGACAAUGUAGCCGAGCACCUUACUUGGGCCUGGAGUUUAUGGGGACUCAUAUCCUAGUGGCCCUUCUGUAAGCCUUUAUGUCCCUUUGUUGGCCUUUAUCUUUUCGUCUAGUUGUCUCGUGGCUCAGAAUUGACAUAUAAGUAAGCCUACUCUUUUUGCUCCCAGGCUCUCGUGCCUUAAGGUAUCGUUUGGUACGCAGACGGGACGGAACGGGAUAGAACAGGACGGGACGGAAUAGGACGGAACGGAUUAUGUAAAUAUUGAAAAAGUUAAGGAGAAAUUUUGUCAUAAAAUGUUAUAAAUUUGUGUUCCACAGAUGUGGAACGGGUCGUUCUAGGGGAAAGAGGUGAAACAAAAAAUCAAUCAAAUUUCGUCCCAUGGUACAACCCGUUCCACAAUUUUUAGGCGCACCAAACGUGGGACGGAACGGCUCGUCCCGUCCCACGUACCAAACAGUACCUAAAGUUGUCAAUGGCCCAUCUUGCAAUCUUGUGCUUGGAAAACACUUUAUGGUGCUUGACUUGAUUAUUGAUUGACUUGAUUGCUAAUUGGAUCCUUGGAGGUCAUGGGCUCCUUAAAGUGCUCGGCUUCAUCUUCCCAUGCUGAUUAGACUUUAACUUUCCUUUGGGCUCGUGUUCUUUUAGGUUUAUGUUACCUUUAGGCCUAUCCGAGUCAGAAAGGACUUUGCGUUAACACUCGGAACAUAUUGUUCGUCAUUCUUUGAAGGAUUAUUUGGAUAUAGAUCCAUACAAUAUAUACCUUGGAUAAAAACCCACUUAUGAAUAAACAUUCAAUAAACAUCUAAAAUUUAAAUAAAUUGCCACAUAAGAAAAUAAGUAACCUAUUAAUAUAAGUUAUUUACAAUUUAUGCUACAAUUUUUUAUAACUGUUCUCAUACAACCAUUAUUAGCCAACCAUUAUGGCCGUAAUGUUUUUAACAAUUUCUUUUAUCUGUCUAACAAUGAAUUAAUAUAAUGCAUUACGAUAUCUCUAAACUAUAUAACUUUAGAUAAAUUACAGAAACAUAUAUAUAAUAGUUAAACAUAAAAUCGAAGAUACAUUUUUUGAAAAGUUAAAUUGUAGGUAAAUUAUGUUCAUACAAAAAUAAAAUUCUAGAUACAUUAUUGUUGUAAAAAAAAGGUAAAUUUUUUUUUGUAUCAAAUUGUAGAUACAUUUGUCACAGUUGGUAAACUAGUUUCAUAUAAAAGUAAAAAGUAGGUAAAUUAUAUUCAUACAAAAAUAAAAUUGCGGAAACAUUGUUGUUAAAUAAGAAUAGGUAAAUUUUUAUCCUAAAAUUUGAACAAUAGAUAAAUUAUUUUUAUCCUCUCCGAAUCCAUUUCCACAAAAUCCAGGAUCCAGGCAGUUGAAAUUUAAUCCAACGGCUACAAAUAGGGGGUUCCUUUAAAAGUUAUAAUAACUGUAGCCAUUAGAUCAAAUUUCAAUAGCUUAGAUCUCGAACUUAGUAGAUUUGGUGAAAAGGGAUCCGCCCUUUCCACCCAUUUUCUCACAACGUUCAUGUUUUGCUUGCAAUGUAAAUUACAUAAUACUACCUCAACUUUGUGUCUCAUAAUAAUCACAUCUUUUAAACAUUUCAAUAUCAUACAUCAACUUAUUAACUCGUUGCAAUAUUAUAUAUCCGUCAAUUUUUCUGUCAACUUUUCUAUUAAAUGUUAGCUGGCAAGCAUGGAGCCCACCCCUCACCCAACUGGAUUACAAAAUUAAUUUAAUAUUGAUAAUUAAGAAAAUUUAAUUAUUUAAAAAUGUUAAAAAUCAUAAAAUUCAAUUGAAAAAGAGUAAUGCUAUUCAUUCCAUGUUUUUAUACCACAUUUCUAUACUACCUUAGGUGGCAUCUGAUGUGGACAUCCAUAUUAUUUGAAAAAUUUACAAAACCCAAGGAAAUGAAGGAGAAAGACUCCUUGUACGCCACAAUCAUCAUUUAAUUAACUAGUUUUUCUUAAUUAUUAGUUUAUUAAAUAAUGAACUACAUUUAAAAAUCUGAUUAAUUCAAAUGAUGUGGCUGUCCACAUCAAAUGCCACCUAAGGUGGUAAGAAAAUGUAGUAUAAAAACAUGGUAUGAAUAUCAUUACUCAUUGAAAAAAUACAAUAGGUUUUGUGAUUUAUUGUUUUUCUUUAUUCACCAUUUUUCGUUUUUUGGUCGAAUUCUUCACCAUCUUCUUCUCUGCUUGUUCUGAUACAUGGAAUGGAGAAUUAAAUUAGGGAUUGCUUAUGGCUCAAACAGAUGUCCUAUAUUAAAUAGGAGAGCCACAGAUGGGGGAUCUACGAGGGUUCAAGGUGGGUUGGUUAACCCCUUGGAUUUCCGGAAGACGGCUGAGGAUGAGAAAUGGGAAGUGUAGAGAGAGUGGCUCGAAAAUAAGAAACCGAACUCGGUGGUUUACAUGCACGAGUUGGCACAUGGGAUAGAGAAAUCCGGGUUGCCCUUUAUUUGGGUGUUCAACAAUCGCCCGUUAGUGGAGGGCGUGUUGGGGCCUGAGAUCAUUCCACUCAGAUUUCAAACUCGAGUGGAGGAUCGAGGCUUGGUAUUGAGGGGUUGGGCCCCACAACUUAAGAUUCUAGGUCAUUCCUCGGUUGGGGGUUUCCUAACUCAUUGCGGUUGGAGUUCUGUUGUCGAGGCACUAGAGUUCGGGCAUGUUUUGAUUUUGUUUUCAAGUGCGAAUUCGGACCAAGGGUUGAUCGCGAGAUUAAUGCACUAGAAACGGGUCGUUUACGAGUGACUCAGUAGCCGAGGUGACUAGGCGAGUGAUGGUGGAGAAAGAAGGUGAAUCAAUAAGGUCAAAUGCAUGGGGCAUGAAGGACAUAUUUGGAUUUGGAUCAUCUCUGAGGCAACUGAUCGGGAUUCUCCUGAUCAGUAUUCGUGGACUGUUAGAUUUUUAUCCAACGGCUACAAUUAUUAUAACUUUUAGAGGUCCCGUCCUGUUUGUAGCCGUUGGAUAAAAAUCCAACGGUCCACGAACACUGGUCAGGAGGAUCCCGACCAGUUGCCUCAAAAAGAUCCAUAUCCAAGAUAUUUGGCAACGUAGAGUUGAACAACAAGUGCUUGGACGAGUUCACUCGGGUCCAUGAAACCUGGCCCAUUUCCACCUAUUCAACAAGAAAUUUUUCAUUGAAUAAGGAAUACGGCUCGGUACAUCAAGUGUUAUAAUACAAGCAGUUAGAUAUUUGAAAACUUUCAAUUUAUUAUAUUAUGACACUUAGUGUACCAAGUUUUGUUGCUGGCAUACUGAAAAAUUGUCUCCUAAUCAACUUUGUAGAUUUCAUAUGUGUUGGUGCCUCUUAGUUGGGAUAAUUAGAUAGGUUGCUUUACUUUUUAGUUUGUUAUUGAUCUUUUCUACCAUAAAAAAGGUGUCAUUGAAUUGGCCUCUCAUAAAGGAAAGGGAUCCUCUACAGAUCCCUUUGACCUAAUCCUCUUCAUUAAAUAAUUUGUACUAUUGAAAUUUGAUUCAACAACUAAAAACAGAGGCUCACUCUAAAAGUUAUAAUAACUUUAGCCGUUUGAUCAAAUUUCAAAGGUCCGGAUUGUUUGAUAAGGAUAAUUAGGUGGAAGAAAUCCGGAAAGGAUCCCUUUCCUCUCUUAAAUUGUAAAAGUUUGCUUGCAAUAAUAACUAAAUAAAAGUUUGCUAUGUUUGCCGUUCCACCAAUGUCGCGGCACACCGUAUGAUCGAGUUGGCUAUUUCUUCUACCUUUGAUUUUUGGUUGUUUAAGUAGCCUCCAGACUUGAUUGUGGAUGUCCUCUUAGAAUUUGUAUGAGCUUUUCUCAAUCUCAAUAAAACCACUACUGUUUCUCUUAAACAAAAAAACAAAAACAAAAAAAAAAAAAAAAGAAAACUGUUUGAAAGUCCUAUAUAUCAGUUGUACAUUUGUACUCAGUUAUAGGAUAACAUGUGAUGCAAAUCACAAAAAAUGCUAAGAAAGAUGAGACUUUUUAUCGUUUUAUGUUUUUAGCACAAUAUCUUAAAAUAUUAACCAAGAGUAACAUCAAAUAGUCCUUACUUUGAGAUUCUCCGCAAUCACUACCUAUCACAUUUUUGGGUAAAAAAAAAUAUCAUUAUACGAAGUAAAUAUAGUUUCCUCUCACAUUCAUUGCAUGUACCAUUACACGCUCAUCCUAAAAGAGAAGUAAAGGCGGCGUUGACCCAAAGAGACAGAGAGGCGGCUGAAUCUCGUAGCGCGGGCGGCAGUUGCUCUCUAGUGUGGUGACGAUGACAUCAGCAGCGGUGGCGGUAAAUAGCGACAGGAGCCUGGGAAGCUGACGCGUCGUGAAAAGCAGAUCGUUUCGUCUUUAGUCCAUGUCAUCCCCAAAAUCAACUCAAUCCCAACUCCAUGUACGUACUUCCUAUUUUCCUUGUAACUGAAUCUCUGAUUGUUGCCCAACUCUCUGUUUGGUUGCCGAGAAUAUAAUGGAAAAUUGAAUUCAUAAUUUGAAAAAGAGUUAUUGGCGAAAUGAGAGUGGGGCAACGUUUGAUAGAUAAUGUAUAACCUUAUAAGAAUUUGAAAUGUCAAAAAAUGAUGUUAUUUAGUCGUCAACAUUUCAUCGACUUCUAUUUAUCAACUAAUGUAGAAAUUUCUUGCUUGAUGUAAACAAACAAGUUUUAAAGUGGGCAUAAACAACUCUAUCACUUCCAAUGGCAUAUUAACCUUGGGACUAUGUGGGUCUUGGGCUGGGUUCGGUUCCAAUCGGUUUGGUUUCGUCAAAAUCGAAACCGAAUUGAAAUUUUGGUUCUGUUUGGUUUUUUCCGUUAUUAUUAUUUUUUUUAAUCUGUAUAUUGGUGCUUGAAUUCAAACUGGGGCGACUCGCAAUGAUGGCUGCAUCAAACAACUCAUCAAUAUUUGCAAUACGAACAGAAACCUUUGUAAAUCCUAAAGUCCUUAAUGUUGAAUAAUCCUGUAGUCGGGGUAACAAGAAUACAACAAAUCUUCAACAUGAGUUCUAACCAAUCCCUCCAUGAAAAUCUGCUCCCAGCAAAUCAUCAAACAAUAAUCAUAAAGAAAUAUCCUUUAAGAACCAAAACUUGAAAACAUAUCUGCAAUACAAACCCACAACACAAACCCACAAAUAGGGGUGGGCAGAAAAACCGCUAAACUGGAAAACCUAAUCGAACCGUGACACAAAAACCAUAAAAAACUGCCUUGACCAAAAAAGUCUAAACCAGACAAACCGAAUCGUUUCAAACAGUUCCAGUUUGGAAAUAUUAAGAACCGGAGGAACCGGACCGAAUCGCUUUUAAUAUAAAUUAUUAUUUUUACAUAAAUAAGACAUUUUUCCAAGAAGACCAUGUGCAUAAGCCUAAUAUUUUUCUUCACUUCUUUCCCCCUCCUUUGUUGUUUUAUCACUUUUCUCCCCCUACAUUAUUUCUCUCCAUUCUUUUACAGUAGAUUAUGCAUUAUGUACAUUUUAGUUUUAGUUUAAGAUCGACACUUUGGUCUUGAUAUGAGCCUUUCUAUCUUUUGAUUUAUAUUUAUAUGCACACUUUCUAUCCUCCGGUCAUAAAUCUUGUAUAUCUAGUAGUGGAAACUCAAACAUAUAUAUAAUUUUGGUUAGAACCGUAAACCGGCAUGAACCAAACUGGAACCGUCAUGAACCAAACCAUAUGGUUUUAGUAAUAAAUUUAAGUGGAACCGCAUCGAAUUGAACCAUUGAAAUUUUCCGGUUUCGGUUUCAUUUUGAGGAUGGAACUGGGCCGAACCGGACCAUGCCCACCCCUACCCACAAAUGACUAACAAACCCACAACACAAAAAUCAAACAAAUCUGCAAUACGAACCAAAACAACAACCAUAAAUUUACACCAAAAUUUCAGUCUCCCUUUCUAGAAUUUACCGUAAAAAAACCCAUAAAUCGAUAAAAUAAAUAAGAGAGACUGGAGAUCUUACCCUGGAGUGAGAAGAUUGAGAAACUGAGAGAAGAAUGGAGAAGAAUGGAGAAAUUGGAGGCAUGGACAUGGAUGAGUCUGGAGGCGCAGAGGACGAGAUAGAGAAAAAGGGAAUGAAAAAUAGAAAAGGUGUGGCUACUACAACUAGUGGCUAGGGUUUUGUUGAUUUCUAAUUCCACAAAAGACUAUAAAUUUCAAUCUUUAUAAAUAAUUUAGUCAUACAAUCAUAACAAAACCUGUUCCCAAGUUGGUUUUAGUGAAACUUUUCAAUGUGGUUCGCAUAGGUUCGAACCUUCAUGCCUCCAGGAUUUCAAAGAUUUUUUUUUUAAUUUUUAUGAUUUUUAUAAUUAAAAUAUUAUAGAAAAAAUAAUUAAAUAUAUAUCGGUUCGGUUCGGUUUGACAGUUUUCGACCUCGGUCCUGUUUGGUUCUUGGUUUUUUUCGAUUUUUGGUUUUUUUAACCCACCCCUAUGUGGGUCAGCUGACCCCCCCCCCCCCAAAGCUCAAAAAACCUUCACGGAAAAGCUAGGUGAUGCUCUUUCUAAACCUGAGAUGUCUUGAAAGCUGUUAUCCAAUUGCUCAACGAAUUACAUUAGGCAUGGUAUCUGUUAGGCUCAUGCUUUUGUAUGCGUUGCUACUGGCAUUUUCGGGAUAGACUCACUCAGCAUAUGUUGGAGUCAACAUGCUCGCUCAAAUGCUAUUAACAUCAGUCAACAUGCUCGUUCGAAAGUUGUUUGCAUCUAUUGACAGGUAUGCAAUAUGACUUGAUAAAUGACCUUCGGCUUACCCAGACUUAAUGAAAUGCUAAUUUGCGUGUUAUUCUGCCCAAACAAUUUCGUGUGUUGCGCGUACUAUUCUCAUUUCCCCCAUUCCCCACCCUCCCCCCUUAAAAAGGUUCUUUAGAUCCGCUGCUGCUCACUUCUGUAAAUAAAUAAAUAAAACAUGAAUAAGAAAAAAAAUUACGGCGUAAGUUGGUGUCUCUUCUUUUUUGAAAAGAGGACUAGCUGGUGUCUCUAGCGUCGCUCAAGUCCUAUUUUGUAAAUGCCAAUUAUUAAUAGACACCAAAUCAACAGAAUAUUGGACUUGAAAGGGACAUUGGCUCCAUUUAAACAUUAAAAUUUUGAAGAUAUGGGGACAUUGUAUUAAAAAUAAAAGCAUCAACUCUAGUAGUAAUUAACAAUUAAAAGAAGGAGCAGUCAAUGAUCCUCUAUCUCCGUAUCUAUUUGUGUUAUGUGUGGAGAAGUUGGGCAUCUUAUCAGUGAAGCUGUCUCUAAUAAAUGUUGGAAGCCUGUCAAAGUGGCUAAAAAGGGGCUUGCCAUUUUGCAUUUGUUUUUUGCAGAUGAUAUUAUUCUCUUUAGCGAGGCUUCUAUUUCUCAAGCUAAAGUGGUUAAACGUUGUUUGGACAGAUUUUGUUGUUUGUCUGAGCAACAAAUUAGCUUUGAGAAGUCUCAAAUUUUUUGAUAUUCUAAUGUGAACAACUGUGUUGCUGAUCUAAUUAGCGAAAUUUGUGGUUCUCCAAUUGUUCAGGACUUGGGAAAGUAUCUAGGUUUGCCUUUAAUUCAUUCUAGAAUUAAUUCCAACACCUAUAUGGAGGUUGUUAACAAGGUUCAGAGUAGACUCUUUGCAUGGAAAGCCAACACUCUAAAGUCUCUUGCUGGAAGAAUUACUCUUAUUCAAGCUGUUAUUUGAGCCAUUCCAGUUUAUGUGAUGCAGACAACCAAGCUCCCAGUUAGCACUUGUGAUUUAAUUGAUGGGUUGAAUAGGAAAUUUUCGUGGGUUUCUUCUGAAGUCAAAAGUAGAAUUUGUUUGGUUAGAUGGAGUUCUGUUUGUCUUCGGAAGAACAAAGGUGGUUUGGAUCUUAAAAGAAUGAAGUACAUGAAUGCUGCUCUUUUGGCCAAGUCCAAUUGGCGUUUCUUACAACAGGAUAAUGGUAUUUGGGCUAGAACUUUUAGAGGUAAGUACUUAAGCGGGGUGAAUUCUGAUAUUCUCAAAUGGCCAACUGGUAGGGUAGCUUCUAGCUCUUGGAGGGCUGUGGUUUAUGGUGGUCAAUUGUUGAAAAAUGGUCUUAUUUGGAGGGUUGGCUCAGGUGCUAAUAGUAGUUUUUGGUUUGAUGCCUGGCUUGAUGAUGGCAUUCUCGCUGAUAAGGCCUUGAUUCCUUUGGAUGUUUCUGCUAAAGCUUUAAAGGUUAUAGACUUUUGCUAUGGUAAUUGUUGGAAUAUUUCUGCCUUGAGAGAUGUUCUUUCGGAGGAAUAUGUUUGGAAGAUUUUUGUUAUUCCUAUUGGCCUCAAUGAUGGAGAUAGUGAUUGUAUUAUUUAGAAGCUUUCAAAUGAUGGAAUUUUUAGUGUUAAAUCAGCUUAUCUUGCAAGUAUUGAUGAUGAAGUUUUUGCCGAUUAGAGUUGGAGUGAUAUAUGGAAGCUUAAGCUACCUCAUCGAGUGCUUCAUUUUUUUAUGGCUGACUCUGCAUGGGAUAUUGCUUUGCAAUGAAAAUAGAGCUAAGAGAGGUAUGACUAAUAAUUCCUAUUGUGACUUUUGUGAUGGUUGGUAUUGACUUUCAUGAUUGGAUGAGAGUGAAUCUUUUUUUUGAGAAGAUUGCUCUGCCAUAAUCUGCCUUGGUGGGGUGUUUUUGCCUUUGCUUGUUGGUGGUUAUGGAAAUGGAGGAAUUUAAGCAUUUUUGCGUUUGAUUUCAUUUUCCCAAGUCAACCUCAGGUUCUCAUUCUUAAAGCUGCUAAAGAGUGGUUUGAGGUGCAAAAUUUUGGUGCUAAGCCUGUAAAGAGUAGGAUUUUUUUAGCUUGGGAUCCUCAUCCUAAUUAUGUCAAGAUGAAUGUGGAUGGUAGUAGGAAGAGUGGCAAGGGGUGCUCUAGUGCUGGUGGGAUUUUACGUGCUGCUGCAGGUGUGUGGAUUGCUGGUUUCACCAUAAAUAUUGGUGUGGGGAGUGUGCUUAAUGCUGAGUUAUGGGGUCUUCUUCAUGGUCUGUCUCUUGCUUUGAGAUUGGGUUAUAGAAAAGUGUUUGUUGAAAUGGACUCCGUUGUAGCUGUUACUUUAGUAAUGGAUUUUAAUUCCUCUAUGGACCCUCUUGCUCAUCUCAUUACUGCUUGCCGGGAGUUAUUGAGCAGGGAUUGGAUUUGCUCGGUUUCACAUGUUUAUCGUGAGAAGAAUAGAGUGGCUAAUGGUAUGGCAGAUUUAGGCCAUAAGUUUGACAUUGGUCUUCAUGUUUUUUAGAGUAAAUUGUACAAAUGGUCCCUCAACUUUAAUCAAAUUGGAGCAAUGGUCCCUCAACUAAAAAUCCAUUACCAUUGGUCCCUCAACUUAUCAAAAUGUGUAGCUAUAGUCAUUUUCAUCAAUUUUGUCAAAAUAAGCUAUGUUGGAACGACCAUUUAUAUAAUUAGGGUCCCUCAACUCAUCAAAGUGUAUACUUAUGGUUCUUUUCGUCAACUAUGUCAAAAAAUUUGUCAAAACGAGUUAUAUUGGAAGGACCAUUGCUACAAUUGGGUUAAAGUUAAAGGACCAUUUCUCCACUUGAAUUAAAGUUCAGGGACCAAUGGUAAUGAAUUUUUAGUUGAGGGACCAUAGCUGCAUGUUUUGAUAAGUUGAGGGACCAAAGGUAAUGGAUUUUUAGUUGAGGGACUAUUGCUCCAAUUGAGUUAAAGUUAAGGGACCAUAGCUACAAUUUACUCUGUUUUUUAUGAGCCUCCUCCUCUAGUGGAUAGGUUGAUCUUUGAGGAUGUUGUUGGGUUUCCUCGUACCCGUUUUGUUAGUUGUUUUUCUUGGGUCUUUUCACCCCCAAUUUUACCAAAAAAAAAGAGGAGCACUCAAGCAUGAUAUAAAAGAAUGACGUCGAUCUCUCUGCCUAUGUUUUUGCAGUGACUUAUGCAAAUCCAGCAAUUUCCAUGGUUCCAGCUUCCAGCUGGUGCAGGUUAAGUUUGUUUUAUAUGUAACACAAUAAGCAUAUACGUUUUAUGGAUGCUACUUUUGUGCCAUCUUGGGUGAGGAGUACUAAUCGAAUUUAAAACAUCUUUCAACGCGAUUUAUUAACUAACGGGUCGCUAAUGGUAUUUUACCGUUAUUCACACUACCCGUUAAACUAGAUUCACAUAGUCAUAUGUGUAUUGAAAUUUUGCAGGCUGAAUUUGAGUCAUAUUAACCGAUCGUGUACAAUUAUUGCUAGCUUUAAUGACGAUAUAUGAAAUUACCCUUGUCAAAGUUCUAAUAUUUCCUUACCUUGAUUUUCGCAUUGAUAAUAUAUCUGACGAGCUAAUAAAAAUACCAUUAAACUGAACAUUAGUUUAUGAUUUUUAGCUAAAAUGGUCCCUGAUAUUGACAUAACUCUUCAAUUUGGUCCAUGACAAUGAAAAUUGAGAGAAGUGGACUCUGAGUUUAUCAACUGUAAAUCAUUUUGGUCCUUCUUGAAAAGUCUUUUAAUAUUCUCGUUAAAUUGUCACGUAAAUGACCACGUGACCACUUUUCAAGGGUAUUUUUGUCAAACCAACCCUCCACUUAACGAGAAUAUUGACAUAUUUUUCAUGAAAUGACCAAAAUGAUUCAAGAUGUACAAACUCAAGAACCAAUUAUAUUAAUUUUCAAUAUUAUGAACCAAAGUGAGAAGUUACGCCAAUCUCGGCACCAUCAAAUCUUGAUUCUAGUAGGUGAACGAUAUGCAUAUAACUUGGUUACAUGCAUGCAUGAACUAUUAAACACGUAAGUGGUAGACGUAAGCAAUAAUCUCUUGCAUUUCAGGGCAAGUGAUUGGUUGCCGGUUUCCAAUAGCAUUCAAGGGGAAGAAAUUUAACAUAUCUUUACCAAGGAGUCAAAGACAGAUCAACGCAUCUGAUCCUAUAUAAGUUAACCCUCCUAACCCUCUGUUUUGCACAAAUCAACUUCCUUAAUUAACCCUAGCGACAAAGAGAAGAGGACGGAGAAGGUACUUGUUUCAUUUAGUUCAACAUGUAUACGUGGCUACAUCUACGAUCGGAUAUAUAGAUUCUUAUAGAGGUUUGUAAAGAAGGUGACAUAAGAGAGUUAGCACACGUGGUUCUUUUCUUGCAUAAAUCCAUGUCAGAAGCUUUGUGUGCUCACUCUCUAUCUAUCACCUACCAUCCUUAAACCUCUAUCUCUCUCAACAACAUAUAAGAAGAUACAUACAUACACACACACUCACACAUACACACACUAUCAUUUGACACCAUAGUUUGGUACUUAAAUCCUAAAAUGUAAGAGAUUAUCCAAUUUGAAACAGGAAAACCUAAAGUAUGUCAAUAGUUGUGCACCCAAAUCAUGUGUGUCAAUAAUUGAUAUUAAAGCUAAUUAAAAUCUAGUGGCUUGUGAGAUGUUGGAUAAGUCCGUUUUCGAACGUCAUAAUCAUAGAAGAAUUCUCGAAUUUUCUUGUAAUGAUCUUUACAGUUUGGUAUGGAAAAUGAUUUUCACUCUGUAUUUUACUUUGUAUUUUGGUUACAACAGAAAAUGGAAUCCAAUUGUUGACUAUCUUAAUCAUAUUAACUCAUCUUCCCUCAUUCGAACACGGAAAAUGAUCCACGAACGUGACCGUUCAUCGUACAUUGUGCGGUAAAAAAUCAUUUUAAAAUUUAAAAUUAAAUAUAAAUAGUACCUAAUGAAAACUAACCUUACGAUGUACGAUGAACGAUCACGAUCACGAAAUCCCUAUGAUCCUCAGGAAAAGAAUCCGGCGACGAUCCCUUUCCUUUGAACACUAGUCUCAUAUUUCCCAUUACCAUUAAACUAACCUCCACAUAUGAAUCACCUGCACCAUGAUUGAUUCAUUUAAGUGUUUAGAUGUUAAUUAAUAUCUCACACCAUAAAGCAAUCCAAUAAUUUGGCCUAAAGCUACUUUUUAUGUUGAAAAAAGGGGCUAAAAGCAAGAGCCCAAACAAAUUGACUCAAUAAUAAAUUUAGACUGAGAUAUCUCUAUUAGAAAAAGUAAGGUUUUAAAAGACGCUAGGUGCUCGUCAGGCGGCGGACUAGAGGCCUAGGCGGAUUUAAGUAAGUCUAUUGUAUUUCGUAUAAAUAAGUGUCUGUUUAUACUUAAAAUAUAUAUAAUUUCAUCAUAAACUAGAAAAUAAAAUGACAUAUAUAUUAUGAAGUAUUGAAACAUAAUGAAAAUAUAGGGAGUAAACAUUUAAUGUGUGUUUAUUUAAGCGUUCAAUAAGUCUCUUACAAUUUAUUGGAAACAAUAAAAUACAAAAGGAAAGUUAUCUAUUUUUUAUCUAAGUAAGUUGCAACCUAGGCAGGUGUCUAGGUGGAUCUGGAUGGGUCAGGCCGGUGUCUAAGAGGUCUAGGCGAGCGCCUCAACAAGUCUAGACGCCCUUUCUUAAUUUUCAAAUGCAUAAGCAUUAAUCGGGGCGCUAGGCGGAGAUUUUUAUAACAGUGUAGAAAAAUAUCUUUCAUUGAAUCAUUGGGGUACUUGUACAGUGUCAAUAAUUGAUUAAUAACUUAAGUAAAGACUAAUUAAACAUAGGCUAUGAUUAGUUACAUUUCUCAUUUCUGUUAUAACAAACUAUUACUAGUGCAUAACAGCAUAUUUACCACGUCAAUUCCAUCACGGGCAUCAAUAACUCGUGGUAGAAACUAUUCAAUUACCACGGUCAAGUGUAGCUCGUGGUAGAUAACAUUAAUCUACCACGGUUAGAUUCCGGCCCGUUGUUAAAAGUGAAUAAUCUACAACGGUCUUUAAUCCCAUGAUGGAAUAUCAAAACCACCACGUAAUAUGCUCGUAGUGGUUACUUCAAACGACCACAUGACCUUUUGAAAAUUCACCACGCCAUCAGCCCGUGGUGGAUGUUUUUAUGUUUUUUUUAAUAUAUUUAGAAUCAUUAUAUUACUUUGUUGAUGCACAAAAUCAGCGAGGACUUUGGUACAACAAAAAGUGUUAAGUUUGUGACCUUUGCUAGAUUGUUCCGGUCACUAGUGUGGAUAAGUAUGUAAAUAGAUAGGGACAGGGAAGCAAACACCAGAUGUACGUGGUUCACCCAGAUUGGCUACGUCCACGGAGUAGAUGAGUUCUCAUUAAUUGUGAAGAGUUUACACAAGUGCAUAGGUUCAAGCUCUCUUUUAGUGAGUACUAGUGAAUGAUUUAGUACAAAUGAUAUUAGGAAAUAUUGUGGGGGAAUGAUCUCCUUUUAUAGAAGAGAGUUUCUAGCUUUGUUCUGACAUUGAUACGUGUCGUGUUGUGAUUGGCUUCCGAUGUUGACACGUGUCGCGCUAUGAUUGGCUUUUGAUGUUGACACGUGUCGCGCUGUGAUUGGCCUCCUGGUUGGAGGGAAACUCUUAUGGGUCAUUGACGAUAUAACGUUGACCGGUGCUCAGUAGUUCCGGGAUUAGUCAAGUAUGGUACAAACAUACUUAUUAUUUAUUACUAUAUUGAUUAUUGAUUGCAACAAAAUAUUUCUUUCAUAAUUUAUUAUUUAUUAUUAUAUUUGAAAUACUACCCUUUUGUUUAACCUUUAAACCCGAUAAUAUCUAAUAGUCCUAAUUAAAAGUGAUGCGGAGAAUUUCAAUCAAUAAAUGACAUGAAUGUUACAAAUAAUGAUAAAUAAAAUCUACAAAAUGUGGGAGGGAGGCAAGGAGACUUCCAUUGCUUUCGUGACUACCCAGAACACCCAAAUUUGGUUUGUCUUCAAUGCGAUUUGACCAAAACAAAUAAAGAGUGAUAAUUACAAUUCAAGAACUAUGUAAAAUUAAAAUAGAACUAUAUAUUUAAAAUUUAAGAUAUCAAAAUUUUACCAUAAUUACAACAUAAAAACUUAUAUGUAUAAUUUUAUUUAAAUGUUGUUUGGACCUAAUUUUACACCAUCGCUCCGUGUAAUCAAGGUCGUUGAGUAAGCAUAGUUAUCAACCGUCGAAUGGAAAAGUGAAGAUAAUUUUGUUAAAAGAUAAUAUUAUGGUUUUUAUCAUAAUUAUCUUUUAAUAUGAAUUAUCUCGGUGUCUUCUUAAACCAGAUAAAUAGAAAGCGAUUCAUGUCUCGGAAAAGCAGUACAAUUCGAAUUGAUUUGGGAUGUCUGACAGCACUUGGAAGUAAAAUGGAUUUAAAAUUCAUUUGAUCAGAAUGAUGAUGGCUAUUGUUGAUGAGGUGAGGAUGAGAUAGGAGACCUAAGAGGGCUAGGUUUAUGGAUGUUGGUAGAUGAAGCGAAUUGAUGAUGGACAUGGCAUGCAUGCCGUGUCAAAGGCUACCAGCCAUAUACAUAAAUAUAUAUAUAUAUAUAUAUAUAUAUAUAUAUAUAUAUAAUUGGCGACAUUAGGUCUGCGAACUCAUUGGAAAGGUGCAAACUUUGUUAUAUAUAUAUAUAUAUAUAUAUAUAUAUAUAUAUACACACACACACACACACGCACAUACACACACACACACACACACACACACACAUAUAUAUAUAUAUAUAUGUAUAUAAUUGGUGGUUGAUUAGAUGGACGUUAUCCAAGCAUGCAGGUUAUCUUGGAUUCGAUGAGUUAAGAUGAGUUUUAAUAGUUUAGGAGUCUUUCUCAUCUUAUCAACCAGUGCGUAUUCGUCACUAUAAAUACAAAGUCGCAUGCAACAUUCAAAGCCCCUCCAAUUCAACACACAACUGCCCUGCGCAAAUUCUCUCAACAACCUUGAGAUUUUUUCGUUUCUUUUUCCGCCAACACAUCUUCAGUUUGGAUAAAUAACAUUAUGAAUGCAACCGGUGAUAUCUUCAGUCGGCAUAGAUAGCACUGUCACCGUAUAACCAGCCGGUCUCGCAGCAUCUUCAGUUGGCAUAGAUAGCACUGCGUCGAGGGUGACUGGUUAUCUAUCCCAAGUCUUGGUCGAGAAGGAUUUCCGAAUCCUUAUUGGUCGAGGUCAUCUCAUUAGCCUUCUCGGCGAGGUGAGGUGUUACAGUUUAUUAGGCUUGGCACAUUGCAUGCCGAGUUGGUUUAUGAUUAGAUACUCUCAAGUGGGAUUUAGAGUUCGGCAUUCCGACGGCCGAACCAUGUUUAUGGUUAAGACACAUUUGCUUUGAGUAUUUGUGCCCUUACACUUUGGUGUCGAUUCGGUGAGAGUGUGGCCGAAUCCGACGACGACGAUUUGUGAACUUUGUAAGAAUAGUAUCCUUGUCUUCAGGUUCGAGAACCCAAGAGGCCGAGACGUGUUCCUUCCUCGGUCACAAUUGCAAGACGCAGAAGUCAGCCAUGCACCCAACGUAACAUCAACGAAUUUUACUCCUCGGCCGACGAGUUGGCACGCCCGACAUUCAACCGAAUGACGUAGUUAGAUUAUAGAUUACUCGGCCUGCGCGCCACGUAGGCUUGGUAGUUUUUAGGGUCAACAAAUGUAUUAACCAAUUAAUGGGUGUUGCGCCGUAUUAGAGUCCCAAUAUACUUUUAGUUUUAUGGCUAUAAGAGAGUCCCAAUAAUAAAGUUACUAUAUUUUUUAUUGGAAAGAAAACUUAAUUAAAAACCCACUAAGCGAACAAACUGUCGUUCAAGUUCCCACCAGUCGCUUGCAGUUAUAUUUUGUUAUCCCCUCAAUCAUUCUCUUCACAUCGUUCUAUUUUUCUAGGACGCAAAAUAUUAUUCACUAAUCUCUCUCUAUAAAUUUGGUAUGAAUUGAGUGGUCUUGUAGUUGCAUUUGGCUCUUUUGCGAUAGUCUCACGAUCUCUCAAGCUCUCAGCCCUCUCACUGUCUCUUCCUCUCAGUGAGUUUGAUUUGGAUUGUCUCUCUCUCUCAAGUUGGAAUCUCGAUUUCAGACUAUAUAGUCUCGAUUAUGGUAUUUUUUGUGCCUCCUGAUUUUGGUAUGUCAGUUUCCUAGGGUUUCUUUCUACGAAUUUUCUUGGUGUUAUUUCAUCAUUUUUCCGCAAAUUCCAACCCUAUCUAUUCUCCAUAAGUUCUCUCGUUGUUUAGGGUUUGUUCUUUUUUUCUAUGUUUUACUUCCACUAAUUGCUAAUAUUGUUGGAGGAUUUUUUGUAAUAGGAGCUAUUCCCAUUAGUACGCUGGCUUUUUUUUUUUUUUUUGUCAUUUGUUAUCACUGAUGAUUUAUAAUUUAAUUGUUGUUUUGGGAUUUUAAGGAGGUGCGUUGAUGUGCCAUCGAUGUCAAAGGAACAACAAGGAUUGGGUAGUUCGCUGUAAAGAGUGUAAGAGGAAACGAUUUUGUAUUCCUUGAAUACAGAUCUGCUGUGUAUUACUUUAAUAUUUCUGAUUAUAGCUUACUAAAGAUCGAUGUUGGGUUAGUAGAAUCCAGUGAAUGAUAUUUGAUUUGGUUUCAAAAGGAGAAGGGGGUCGAUUUACAUUCUUAUCUGGUUGGUGAUAGAAUAAUGUGCAUUUGGUCUUGAAAACUUCUUGAAUGUUGUUAAGAUUUUAUAGUUAACAAUCUAAUGAAAACUUAUCACUUUAUCUCUCUUUGCUUGUCACUUUAAUCUUUUGGUUAUUUUGUCCAGUAUUGGGUACUAUGUGUAUGCCUCAAUGAGAAACCUGGCAAUACUAUCUUGUAGAGGCUUUAAUCUGCAUGUGCGGAGAGACUAGGUUUUAUUAGUGAAGCUUUUAUAUGUAUGAACUGAAACAAGACUUGUUUAAAUUUUGGCUAGUGUUUGUUAGUGGGCCUAGUGUUGUGUAUUGCUUUUGUCUCCAAUCAUGAAUUAAUCAAGUUCACUUUUUUCACUUGAUAUAUGUGUAAAAUAAGCAGGGGAUUGACAAUUUGACAUAAAUCGAACAGGACAAGAUUAUAAAAAUUGGGACAUUGAAGUGUUUCCUUAAAUGUUUGGCAGAUUGAAGUUUGGAGAUGGUUUGACGCUAGAAGGUACUGACUUAAGUGCUAUUACUCUAACUAAGAACAUAUUUAUGGUAAAUGGCCACUACUUAAUUACUGUAAUGUAAGCUCUAUGGAAAACUGUCAUCUCUCUUGUCUCGCUCUCUCACACACACAGAGGAAAGCAUGCACAUUGAUAUUCAUAUGCUUGAUACUAAUACAUGAGGUCUCUUUGUGUCUCUCUUUCUAGAUUUUCACUAUUGUUUUUCAUAUCACAAUACUCUUCUAGUAAGAAAGUUAAUCUAUGACAGUUGGUUUGAAAUAAAAAAGGAGCCUUGAAUUCUAACGAUCAUCUAUUUUUUACAGGCACCAUGUACUUACUUGAACCAUGAUUGCUUACACCUUUGUGUAAUUGAUUUUGUGGAUAUAAAUUUUUUUGUAUAUGAUGUCCUUGAGUGAUGAGUUUUGAUUUCUAAGCUUGAUAUUUUUCCUUGUGUCUCAUAGGUGGUUGGUGGUUCUAAUUCAUAAGGGUUUAUAACUGACACGCCCCGACCCUGAUAUUCCCUGAAUACCAGGAUAGACACGUGUUGGCCGACACCCGAGGGUGACGAAAGCCAUUAAUUGAUACAAAAGCUAAGGAUAAGAAAUAAAUAAGGGUUAGAAAUUUAAAAAUACAAUGAAUUAAAAAUUUAGGAACGUGUUCAGAGCAUACAACUAAACCUAAUCACUAAAAAGAAUUAAGAUAAAUUGAAUGAAUAAAGAAGUGGGUCCUACAUCGAGAGGAUUCAAAGAUGCUGCUGCGAAAGUAUCUUGACGCCGGGAUUAGGUGCCUUGAUCCUAAGCCCUGAAUGGGGGCGCAAAACAAAGGUGAGUGGACCAAGUUUAUAUAUACAAUAAUAAUAAAACAGUUAUCAAGAUACUAACCCCCACAGUUUAUAUAAUGAAAACUACUAGCAUAAUAAGUGAUGGAUUUAAUCAAAAUCCUAGCAUGCCAAAAAUAUCUCAAAAGUCAUAUCGCGGAAAUCAAAACAGUAAACGUAUAAUAGAUCGUCUCGUAAACGCAGUGUGCUGCUAGAAAGAUCAUCGAAUAAAUAUAACUCCCGGCCCAAUACCUGCUCCAUGUCCUUCAGCCCGCAGCUAGGGAUUAUUUCUCCCGGCCUAAAUGCCAACACCAGUUCCUCGCCCCAGGCGGCAUAGUAUCUACUAGGUACGCACAAAUAGUUACGCCUCUCAUAAAUAACCACUUCAUAGUAUAAAGUCAUCCAUCGUCUAUACUAUAAAGAGGGGUUUCUAAAACACGUUCUAGCAUCCUAUCGUCAUUCAUCAGAUAGUCUACCAGAUCCUGGUUUUUAUAGAAAAUACGAUAUAUUAAAAUAUAGCUCAAAAUAGGCUAACAUUUAAUUCCUCACCAAAAACACGAGACGAAAAUCAAUAUAUUUAAUAAACAAGCUUCACAUAAAUCAAAUCAUAAACUCGUAGGCAUGCUAAUCAUUUAUGCAAUUAAACUAUAAAAUCAUAUAAUUUUAGAAAGGGUCCACUCACAGUACUUAGCCACCAAAAACUGCGCCACUAGCGAAGACAGAAACGUCACAAUAAUUGCCCCUAAGCACAUGAAGGGCUCAAUUAAUAAAACUAUAUAAUAGCAAUUGAAUUUGGGAAAAUGAACAUUGGAAGCGGAUUCAGAACGUCAAAUUACCCUAAAAAGGGUCCCGAACGAAAACCCGAAAAGUCAACCCUAAAGUCAACCCUAAAGUCAACGUUGACCGGAGGUCAAUGGUUAAAUUAGGUUUAACGGGUUUUAGACUUGAAAUCCGGAUUAGGGUUUAGGUUUAAAUAAGAUUAGGAUCAAUUGGGUUUUGGUUUUGGACAUGUUAGGUACAAAAGGGGGUGGUUUGCGCUUAAGCCCAAAUCCAGACACACACUCACACACAUACAUUCACACUCACACUCACACACACACAUACUACAUAAACACACACACACACACACACAUGCACAACAUAACACACACACACAGCCCACAUACACAGUACACAAACAUACACAUACACACACACCCACACAUGCACAACACACACACACACCCCACGUAAACACCACACAACCCACACACACACACCCAGUCCAAAACACACACACACACGAGCCCAAAGGCCUUACAACCAAAAGGGGUUGGGCUCGGCAGGGAAGGCCCAAAGGCCUUUGGUUUGGUGGGUCGCCGGACCUAAUAGGAAAGAAAACCGGAAAUUCGGCCGGAAAUCCGCACCCACUUUAAACGGCCAUAACUUUGACAAUACUUAACGAAAUCAAGUGAAACAAGAACAAAAGUUGUAGCCCUUGAAGAGACAAAGAGAAUGGUACCUCACACGACGUCUAACUCGCCGUUAUUUGGCCGUAAAACGCUUCGAAAGCCGUUGGACUCGCCGGAAACUGGGUAAGAUUCAAAUGAGUAUAACUUCUUCAAUACUCGGGAGACGAAGAGAUUGAUACCUUACACGUCGGCCAAAUCUCCGUGGUUUGGCCGGAAAUGGCCUCGAAAUGAGCGGUCUGCGUUGGAGCAUCGUGUACGGGUUUUUGUUGUCCUCGCAACAACUGAGAGAGAGAGAGAACGAAUUGAUGAUGAUGAUGAUGAUGACGCCGUUGACGUCGGAGAGAGUGGUGUGGUGAUGGGUAUGUGCUCAUGCGAGGACGGGAAGGAGAUAGACGAGGGAGAGAGCUCGGGUGAGAGGAAGAGAGAGAACUGAGAGAGGAAAGAGAGACCGGAAAACACAAAAAAAUAAAACAAGGUGGGCCCCACGGGCUCACCCAUUAAGGCUUUAAAACAAUUUUUAAAUAAAAAUGGGGUUGGGGUGUUUCAACAACUCAUAUCAACUACUACAUUUACAGGUACCUCCCAAUAGUCUUCUUCGAUUUGAUUAAAGAAAGGUGUGCCUAACUCAUAUUCAUGUUUGGAAUAAUAAAUUAAGUAAAGUAUACUCAGUGAUUUGUGUUAUAGAAAUAUUCAAUUUUGUAAUAAAUAUCUUUAUUAUAUUUAUUUAUUAUAUUUAUUUAUUUUUUAUACUUAUUUCUUUUAUCUAUUAUUUUAUAUUUGAAUUCAUUUUUUAAAACAACGGGCACUAGCCGUGAUCAAUUUGUAAUCCACAAUGGCCAUAACACAUGGUGUUAGCUAUCAAUCUACCAUGGGCAUAAUUCGUGGUUACACUGCAUUUGACAACGGGUAUAGCCCGUGGUAGAAAGUAAGACUUUUCAUCACAUCUAAAAUACUAACGGGCACGAUGCCCGUGGUAGAUUACAAUUUAUCACGGGCAUCAACCAUGGUAAAUAAGUUUUUUUUUUUCUCUAGUGUAUAAUAGCCUAGCUAUGAUAUUGCUGACCGUGCUGUUGACAUGGAACUAUAUUGUUGGUUUGUGUCUUUAAUCCCAAGUUGAUUCCCACUAUUAAAACUAAUUAAACAAAAAAAAGGAUUAUCAAAAUAAAAAUUACCUUAAUUUAAAUCAAGACUACAAAUGGCUAAACUAUUCAUCGCAACUUAUUUUCUUUGUGGACAUGCACACAAAUAUGACAAUUUUCAUGAUAAUUGUAUCUCCAAUGCAAAACAACCCACGACCAAAAUAUUAGGAUUCCCCAAAAAUGAUUAUUAAUAUCAAUUCUUCCCACUAAAACAGUUAUUACCGUGUUCUAUGUUUUGGAGCAAGACUUCAAGCGUUGUACAUAUGUACAUUAGAUCUGGAACCAUUUUCUUAAUUCCAUGCCACAUUCCAUUGCUUACUUGUACUCACUUCAAUUACCCUCUCAAUUCAAGCUUCUAAGACUGGCACAAAGCAUGAGGACUUAUCAAUGCAUCAAAAGCCUGACGUAUCCACUCUCCCCCAAUCGUCGAACACAAUGGAGAGAAAAGAUCAGAGAAAACUUCAAAUAGCCACUUUCCCAUGGCUAGCCUACGGCCACCUAAUGCCUUUCGUAGGUCUCGAGUUCUUGGCUCAAAGGGUCACCAAAUCAACUUCUCUCCACCCCUCAAAAACGUCAAUAGCUCUCCGAUCCUCCUCUUUUCGCUCAUCGAUUUCGUCGAGGCUUCCUCGUCCCCGUCGUUGACGGCUAUACCGGAAUCCGUUGAGUCCACCCGGAGUAACCAAUCUUAACUAAGUGCCUUACCCUCAAGAAAUCGACUUUCUCAUGCCUUCAGUCACGGCGCCAAUCAUCGGCGUCAACUGGGUCUGUCCGCUGUCAACAGUCAAUUUACUACUGGAUGCCGUUGAGUCUGCCCUCCUGCAGCUACGGACAGUCAAACUCGAAGUCUACCCCUAAACAUCACCUUCACGCCACUACCUUGGCUUUCUUCAGUCCUCCGUUUCCGAGUUCUUUAACAAGUCAGUGAACCAAUUUGACGGUCACGUUCUUUGGGUUGCUUUGUGAAACUGGUUGCGACUGCGGACGGCUGCUCCCCAAAGAGUGGUCGACUAUGCUUCAACGUUGCUUGCAUAAGCUGUUGAGACUGGAAUGGCCACUGGGACCAGCACUCGCCGAUUGGCUCUCGCUAUUUCAGAAGACUCUCGUGGUGCGAUUAACAAAGAUUGUAAUUUUUCACUUAUGCGGGAGCACUUGCACCGCAAUUUCGAAUCUGACGCGAGAUACGAGUUUUGCUCAGGAAAUUCAUAUUGACGGCAAAUCCGUUGUUCCAGCUCUGGGCUGAUAGUUCCUCUUCACAGAAACACAUCAGUCAAGCGAGUCGCUCGCUGACGAUUGAUUGAGGUGGAUGAGAGUGUGGGGUUUUUUAGAGAUUCAUCAGGAAUUCAUCGACUCGUUAUGGUGAGAAGUUACAAGCCGAGAAGCGGCGUUUGGUUACCGGUCGCACCCUCGCAAAACGGAUGAAGGAGGUGACUCUGAGUCAAGAGUUGAAUGCACGAGUUGGCCGUGGGAUUAGAGAAAUCGCGGGUUUGCCCUUAAGUUGGGUGGUCAAACAAUCGCCCGCCAAGUGGUGAGGGCGUGUCGGGGUCCGACCGAUCAUCUUGGAUUUUUCCAAGUCCGGUCGGGUUUUCGGUCGGAACUCAAAGUGAUUCGAGGUCGAGGACUUGUUGGAAGGUUAAGGCCUCCGGAGCGAUUACUUAAGAUUCGUUAAGGUUUCAUCUGUUUGACUCGUGUUCGGGCUUAGGCUUUGCGUUCUUAAUGAUUGCAAUCCUGUGGAGAGGUUCGAGUCGAGUUCGGAAAGCGGGUCGGGUUUGGAGUACAAACUGGGCUGAUUCGUUCUUCGGGGACUCUUCAUUUGAAUAUGGACAUAGGUGCACUCGAUAAAGGUUGGAGUGAUGAGGGCCCGAUGGAGGGGCUUGAGGAGUAAGCAAACACGUCUCCGACGCAAAAGGUGCUUGACGGCAGUCGUAUAACGCAGUCUGACACAUGCCCCUUGUUUUGCACUCAGAUGAAUCAGCAAUGGUAGUGGAUAGAAUCAGAACAGUUUAAAGUCGAUUUGUCAAAUGACUUGGGGAAGGAAAAAAAGUGUCAAAUCUUCACUUAUAAGAUUAUUUGGUAGUUUGACCACGUUGCUAAUCGACGAUUACUCGUGCAUUGGUGAACGACCCCCCUUCAGUGCUUUCAAUCACAGUGCGUAGGUUGGAGUUUUUCGGAUAGUUUGACAUGAAGUUCGAUUGGUCACUUAUAUGCAUGGAUUUUUUGAAAUUUGUGUUAAAAUCUUACCUGAGACACAAAUUAGAAUUCUUCGACAAAAUUGACAAAAUGAAAACUAAUAAGAGAGAAAUUGAGAAAGAUGAAUCUUUAUUUAUUUGUGGUUGUGCUUUGAUUUGAGGAUUGUAUUUCUUGAAGGCCUAAUCAGAAGAUAGGUUCUAUGGUUAAAAAAAAUUAGGAUUUUGAGAUUUUAUGAUGGUAUUUUGUUAGCAAAUUUAGUCUAAAUUUUUUUUUUUUUUGUUAAAUGUCUGUUAAAUAGAGGAUAAAAAUGUAAUUUAAUGAAAAAAUCAUUUUUGGACUAAAUUUGCUAACGGACUACACUAUAAGAGUUUAAAUUUUUUUUUCUCACAUGGGCUAUCUUCCGAUUAUCUUGUCACUACGAGGAUCAUUUAUCCGAUUAGGUCUUUUUUGAAAAGCAUUACAUAUGUGUUUAUGAAACAGUUUUGAAAAUGAACGUAAAGAUUGAUUCUAAAAACAAUCAAACAAUGAAGAUUAUUUAAAAAGUCAUACUACUUGAUGGGCUAGACUUUCGAAGACAAUCCCGUUUUCGUCAUUAACAUAUUGAAUUUUUUUUUUUUAAUAAGGAUGAUAAUGGAUUAGUCGAGUCGAGCUACGUAUAAGGUUUGGUCAUCGGACUACAAUAGUAAAAACCUUACUCAACACAAGCUGAAAGAAAGAACCAAACCUCAAGAAUAGUCGUUAACUAUAAGUAUGCUACUUUCUUCCCGCUCAGAGCGAUGAGAAAUGGCUAACUCCUUGAUAGAACGACCCCCCGGUCCCCUAUCUCCGAAUUUAGUAAAUAAGGAAAAGUAAACAAUACAAGCAGGGGGAUGGAGACAAAACCCGCUAAGGGAAAAACAAAGAAACAUCCACGAAAACAAACAACAAGAUGAAAACUCAAAGUCACGAGCAUGGCAACAAGAGCAAAAUCAAACACGAAUCACCUCAAUGAAAGAUAAUACUUCUGUAACCAAUAAGGACCAAACUAGCAAAACCUAAACCCUUUUAUUACUAAUAUAAGUACUUUCAAAUUAUGAAACAGUUUUGAAAAUGAACGUAAAGAUUGAUUCUAAAAAAAAUCAAACAGUGAAGAUUAUUUAAAAAGUCAUACUACUUGAUGGGCUAGACUUUCGAAGACAAUCCCGUUUUCAUCAUUAACAUAUUGAAAUUGUAUUACUUUUU